UACGAAGGGGGCUAGCGUUGCUCGGAAUCACUGGGCGUAAAGGGCGCGUAGGCGGCCCGUCAAGUCCCGUGUGAAAGCCCCCGGCUCAACCGGGGAACUGCACGGGAAACUAGCAGGCUUGAGUUCGGGAGAGGGAAGCGGAAUUUCGGGUGUAGCGGUGAAAUGCGCAGAUAUCCGAAGGAACACCGGUGGCGAAGGCGGGUCUCUGGGCCGAUACUGACGCUGAGGAGCGAAAGCAUGGGUAGCGAACAGG
rnacentral:rRNA from 1 species